GCAGGAGACACCGCCUGGCUAUGAGGAUGCUCCUGCGUGAUGGAAUACUCCAUAUGGACAACCUUCUUUGGGAUUAGCGGGAUGGAGAGAGAAGGCCACCAGUUAGCAUUCAUCCUCCAUAGCUCUCUAGAGCUUCAGGGUGGUUGUCAGGGCAGACCAGCAUAUUCUAAAUCAAGUGACUGAAAACACAGGAGGGACCAAGACCCCAAGAAUGCAAGCAGCUGCAACUCACAGAAUUCCCAUCAGCCAUCUGUCCUUCAUUUGGUCUUAGCCAGCUCUACCCUGUCCUACAGAAGAUGAUCACCCAGGAGAGCCAUGUUGAUCAUCACUAAAUACCAAAGCCUACAAAGAACCUGCCCGUCAUAACACAGCGAUUUUGCUGGAUUGUGCCACUGCUGCUGAUCGUGUUUGGCAUCCUGGCUACUGAACUGGACUGCUGGUGUCCUGACAAACGGAGAUUGGAAUCACCUCAAGGAACUCCUUCUAAGCAGGUCCACACCCCCUUGUCCUGUUUACCGUCUUUUCUCCCCUACCUUUGGAUGGUGGACUAGAAGUGGGCUUGAAGUAUUUGAAAACCCUUAUUAAAAGUAGGUUUUAAAAUAAUCAAAGGUUACACUAUGCUUCUAUAUUUCAUGUCUUCUAUAUUUUAAAUAAAGCUUCCUGAAUCUUACUUAAAAUAU
rnacentral:lncRNA from 1 species